AGGUAAUAGAUACCCGGGUAGUCCUGGCCCUAAACGAUGUCCACUAGAUCGUAGCUGCUCUGACGUAGUUAUGGUCGAAAGCAAAAGUGCUAAGUGGACCGCCUGGGAAGUACGGUCGCAAGGCUAAAACUCAAAGGAAUUGACGGGGGCUCACACAAGCGGUGGAGCAUGUGGUUCAAUUCGAAGCAACGCGCAGAACCUUACCUGGGCUUGACAUGCUAGGAUUAUCCCUAUGAAAGUAGGGUAGGCCCUUCGGGUACGAACUAGUACAGGUGCUGCAUGGCUGUCGUCAGCUCGUGUCGUGAGAUGUCGGGUUAAGUCCC
rnacentral:rRNA from 1 species